rnacentral:rRNA from 1 species
AACGAACGCUGGCGGCAUGCCUAACACAUGCAAGUCGAACGAUUGCCUUCGGGUGAUAGUGGCACACGGGUGCGUAACGCGUGGGAAUCUGCCCUUAGGUUCGGAAUAACAGCUGGAAACGGCUGCUAAUACCGGAUGAUAUCGCGAGAUCAAAGAUUUAUCGCCUGAGGAUGAGCCCGCGUUGGAUUAGGUAGUUGGUGGGGUAAAGGCCUACCAAGCCGACGAUCCAUAGCUGGUCUGAGAGGAUGAUCAGCCACACUGGGACUGAGACACGGCCCAGACUCCUACGGGAGGCAGCAGUGGGGAAUAUUGGACAAUGGGCGCAAGCCUGAUCCAGCAAUGCCGCGUGAGUGAUGAAGGCCCUAGGGUUGUAAAGCUCUUUUACCCGGGAAGAUAAUGACUGUACCGGGAGAAUAAGCCCCGGCUAACUCCGUG